GACGAACGCUGGCGGCGUGCCUAAUACAUGCAAGUUGAGCGCUGAAGGUUGGUACUUGUACCAACUGGAUGAGCAGCGAACGGGUGAGUAACGCGUGGGGAAUCUGCCUUUGAGCGGGGGACAACAUUUGGAAACGAAUGCUAAUACCGCAUAAAAACUUUAAACACAAGUUUUAAGUUUGAAAGAUGCAAUUGCAUCACUCAAAGAUGAUCCCGCGUUGUAUUAGCUAGUUGGUGAGGUAAAGGCUCACCAAGGCGAUGAUACAUAGCCGACCUGAGAGGGUGAUCGGCCACAUUGGGACUGAGACACGGCCCAAACUCCUACGGGAGGCAGCAGUAGGGAAUCUUCGGCAAUGGACGAAAGUCUGACCGAGCAACGCCGCGUGAGUGAAGAAGGUUUUCGGAUCGUAAAACUCGGUUGGUAGAGAAGAACGUUGGUGAGAGUGGAAAGCUCAUCAAUUGACGGUAACUACCCAGAAAGGGACGGCUAACUACGUG
rnacentral:rRNA from 1 species